rnacentral:rRNA from 1 species
CACGCUUAACACAUGCAAGUCGCACGGCGGGGGCAACUCCGUCAGUGGCGGACGGGUGAGUAACGCGUAGGAAUCUAUCCUUGAAUGGGGGACAACCGUGGGAAACUACGGCUAAUACCGCAUGAUGCCUGAGGGCCAAAGACGAAAGUCGUUUGAGGAGGAGCCUGCGUCUGAUUAGGUAGUUGGUGGGGUAAAGGCCUACCAAGCCCUACGAUCAGUAGCUGGUCUGAGAGGAUGAUCAGCCACAUUGGGACUGAGACACGGCCCAAACUCCUACGGGAGGCAGCAGUGGGGAAUAUUGGACAAUGGGCGCAAGCCUGAUCCAGCAAUGCCGCGUGGGUGAAGAAGGUCUUCGGAUUGUAAAGCCCUUUUGGCGGGGACGAUGAUGACGGUACCCGCAGAAUAAGCUCCGGCUAACUUCGUG